UCAAACUUCAGCUCUCCUGCUGGCCCUGAUGGAGCGAUCCCUUGUUGAAAUUUCUUCUGUUCCAGCUGCUGUACAGCCUGAAGAUUAUCCUAUCAUACUCUUGGACACUGAGGAAGGAUGACUACUAUCUGAUGUCACACUGAGAAUCAGAGCAGAGAGCAGCAGAUUUCACUCUGUGAUAGAAUUUGGUGGCUGGGCUCAAGCAAACCUCCUGUCUGAGCAGCUGGAACUACGGAUGGACAUCACUUCAAGGGGCCCCGUCAUUCCUUGAAAGCCACAUCUCAUCUGCUAAUACUCAGGUUUCUGAGCCUCCUGCAUCGCCACAGUCCCUGCAAGUCACACCCCCUCAG